CGACUCAUUGACAAUUGAUGGUGUUCCGGUCACCACCUCUCUAUGGGGUGGUUGGCUUGACCCACAACAUGACCUUGACCUCAAAUCGGGUGAGACUACCCGCUGAACUUAAGCAUAUCAAUAAGCGGAGGA
rnacentral:misc_RNA from 1 species